CCCCAUCAUGUCUGUCCCCAAGACAUAUCCAGGUGGGAGCCCACCUGGUCAGCAGCAAUCACCUGCAUGGGAAUAGCUCCCAGCUGUGUCUGGGCCACAACCAGGGUGGUUCAGGCACAUCACCUGCUUCAAAAUGCAGAGGAAGGACCCUGCCUGUGGCCAGGGACAACUGGGACAGACCAACAGCACGGACAGACCACACCAGGCAUGCACCAUGAGAGCAGUCCUCACCUUUAUACCAAAUCCAUGAUUUUGAAUCUUUGAAACAAGCAGCAGCCCUUACAUCCACAUUUGUUCAAGGCAUUGACACCACUGAGAGACUGAAGCUGAAGGGAAGAAAAACAGAUUUUUCUGAAUUAUCCUGUCAUUCUUAGUGACAUACACAUAUAUAUUUUUUUUUCACGGAGAGCCAUUUUUUUUCUCCUUUACUGACAAUCUGUACAUUUCCCGAUGGCUGCUACUACCUGUGUGGGACUGGGGCAUUAAAAGUACCAUCUCUGGCACAGCCCAGCAUCCCAGCUCCUCUCCCCGGAGCCUCUCAUGGAGCAGCAGCACCUGGUCCAAGGCCACGCAAGUUUUCAGAGAUGCCACUGGGGCGUGGGGUUUGUGUGCCCCGCUGAGGCUGUGAGAGGUGAAUGGGACUGGCUGUGCACAUGCCUGAGAGCUGCGCUACCUGUGUGCCUAACAAGGAAUUUGGGCAGUGCCCCUGACAGAUUUGCAGCAUCUCGGCACUUCCCCAGCUGCUGGUACUGCCAGUGAGUUCUGGCACUACCCUGCAGAGCAUGAGAAAGAAAUGUAUGGAUCUCAAGCCAAGGUCCAUGGAGGAUCCCAGUGCUCCCAGCAGAGGAGUUGUCCCUCAGCGCUGCCCUGAUCUGUGCCAGUGGGAGCCUGGCGAGGAACCAUCAGCAUUAGCUCCAUCCCUGUGUGCCUGCAACCUUUGCAAAGAGUGUCAGCAUCACAGGAGAGUAGGGAGACCCACUUCUGGCCCCGCUGCAGCAGUCGGGGCCAUGGUGAUUGCAGUCACCAGGCUCCGUGACUGCAGCACGGGCGCUGCAGCCCACAGGGAGCCUGGCACUCGCUGCCACUCGGCACAGGCAGGCGGUGCUUGGCCUGCACCAUCCAUGGGCAGGCAAGAGAUAUCCAAAGGAGGGACAAUGAGCUGCUGUUACCACUCACUGAAACCUGGAAACUGCUUUUAAUAUGAAAUUGGCACAUUUGAGGACCUGCUUUAAUUUCAUCUCAGGAGAAAACUGUCCUAUAAAAUAAGCAAUUCUGGAACAAAUAUAGUUUGGAAGACAAAAGAACAAAUUGUGUUUCAAAAUAAAAUGUUCAUUUCAUACA
rnacentral:lncRNA from 1 species